UCAGAGGGGGGUAGAAUUNCACGUGUAGCAGUGAAAUGCGUAGAGAUGUGGAGGAAUACCGAUGGCGAAGGCAGNCCCUGGGAUAAUACUGACGUUCAUGCCCGAAAGCGUGGGUAGCAAACAGGAUUAGAUACCCUGGUAGUCCACGCCCUAAACGAUGUCGAUUAGCUGUUGGGCAACUUGAUUGCUUAGUAGCGAAGCUAACGCGUGAAAUCGACCGCCUGGGGAGUACGGUCGCAAGAUUAAAACUCAAAGGAAUUGACGGGGACCCGCACAAGCGGUGGAUGAUGUGGAUUAAUUCGAUGCAACGCGAAGAACCUUACCUGGUCUUGACAUGUACGGAACCUUCCAGAGACGGAAGGGUGCCUUCGGGAGCCGUAACACAGGUGCUGCAUGGCUGUCGUCAGCUCGUGUCGUGAGAUGUUGGGUUAAGUCCCGCAACGAGCGCAACCCUUGUCAUUAGUUGCCAUCAUUAAGUUGGGCACUCUAAUGAGACUGCCGGUGACAAACCGGAGGAAGGUGGGGAUGACGUCAAGUCCUCAUGGCCCUUAUGACCAGGGCUUCACACGUCAUACAAUGGUCGGUACAGAGGGUAGCCAAGCCGCGAGGCGGAGCCAAUCCCAGAAAACCGAUCGUAGUCCGGAUUGCACUCUGCAACUCGAGUGCAUGAAGUCGGAAUCGCUAGUAAUCGCAGGUCAGCAUACUGCGGUGAAUACGUUCCCGGGUCUUGUACACACCGCCCGUCACACCAUGGGAGUGGGGGAUACCAGAAGCAGGUAGGAUAACCGCAAGGGGUCC
rnacentral:rRNA from 1 species